rnacentral:rRNA from 1 species
UACGUAGGGUGCAAGCGUUUGUCCGGAAUUAUUGGGCGUAAAGAGCUCGUAGGCGGUUUGUCGCGUCUGCUGUGAAAACUGGAGGCUCAACCUCCAGCCUGCAGUGGGUACGGGCAGACUAGAGUGCGGUAGGGGAGAUUGGAAUUCCUGGUGUAGCGGUGGAAUGCGCAGAUAUCAGGAGGAACACCGAUGGCGAAGGCAGAUCUCUGGGCCGUAACUGACGCUGAGGAGCGAAAGCAUGGGGAGCGAACAGGG